UACAGAGGAUGCAAGCGUUAUCCGGAAUGAUUGGGCGUAAAGCGUCCGCAGGUGGCUGUGUAAGUCUGCUGUUAAAGAGUCUAGCUCAACUAGAUAAGAGCAGUGGAAACUACACGGCUAGAGUACGUUCGGGGCAGAGGGAAUUCCUGGUGUAGCGGUGAAAUGCGUAGAGAUCAGGAAGAACACCGGUGGCGAAGGCGCUCUGCUAGGCCGUAACUGACACUGAGGGACGAAAGCUAGGGGAGCGAAUGGG
rnacentral:rRNA from 1 species